UGAGCUAUAACAAAAAUAAUACAGAUAUGCCACAAGCCCACACAGAAACUCCGGGAAAAACCAAUUGGAGGAAUAAAGGGGUAGAGAAAGACAAUCAUAACAGUAGCCAUGAAGUAAACCAAGAGGGGAUGAGCAAUGGGGAGGAUUCACAAAGUAUACCUGCAACAGAAAUAGAUAAUGAGAAGGAUGUGAUGAUUGUUAAGCACCAAGAUGAUGAAGUUUCUCACGAAUUGGUAGUACCUUUGUAGAUUGAUACCUCAUGCACAAGAGAUUUCUAGGGUCUGCAAGAAGGUACAAGUCCAGAUAUCCUAAUACUGGAAGAUGUUGCUUAUAAAGACCCCAAUGGAACGACAACCUUGAUAGAAACCUGCACAAAAACACCACCAAUUAGAAUUUUACAUGAAGUGGUCUCAUAUCAGUGAAUAGCAGACACAAGAUAUGGAGGAGGAGGCCAACAUAGAGGACAAGUGGAGGACUUUGAAAAAGCUGAUAAUCAGACCAACAUGACGCAAACAUUGAUAGAUGUUGGUCUACCAGACACUAGCACCACUAGAGGCAGAAAUAAGGUGGAGAACAAACCUAUCCAGGUAAACCCCAAGAGGGGAGUGAAAAUAACUAAUAAAUGAAGUUAAAGGCAUUGGUCUGGAAUGUGAGGUCUAUUAGAACUCAGAAUUCAUUCCACAGAAUUCAGAUGCUUGAUAUAUACCAUAAAUUUUCCAUUAUUGCUUUAAUGGAACCAUUUCAAGAUAUUAGACAUAUUCAUAAAUACAAGAGGAGACUAAUAUGCAAUAUGCUAACUACAAUCAGAAUGGGAAGAUUUGGGUCUUCAUUCAAGAGCAUAUUCAUGUUGGUGUAUUAUCAGAUACUGAGCUGCAAUUAUCUUUACAGUUACAAAUACCAAGAAACUAGACAAUCUUUAAUUACUACAUUUGUAUAUGCAAAGUGUGAUAAACAGAAGGGGAGGGGUCUGUGGGAGGACAUUCAUAACCUCAAUAUAAACAUGAAUCUACCUUGGUUGGUGGGAGGAGAUUUCAAUGUAAUUCUUAAUGAUGAAGAGAAGAUAGGGGGGCUUCUUGUAUGUCCACAGGACUAUGAAGAAUUUGCUAUUUGUGUCAACUCCUGUGAUCUAGUUGACAUUAAUUUUAAAGGUAGUCCAUUCACAUGGUGGAAUGGAAGAGCAGAUAGAGAUUGCAUAUUCAAAAGAUUGGACAUGUUGUUGUUCAAUCAAGUUUGAAUGGGUUUAAAUGGUCUAGUAGAGGUUGAACACAUAGCUAGGACUAGAUCUGAUCAUGCCCCUUUACUUCUCACUUCAGGGGGGGGGGGGUUCAAUCCNNNNNNNNNNNNNNNNNNNNNNNNNNNNNNNNNNNNNNNNNNNNNNNNNNNNNNNNNNNNNNNNNNNNNNNNNNNNNNNNNNNNNNNNNNNNNNNNNNNNNNNNNNNNNNNNNNNNNNNNNNNNNNNNNNNNNNNNNNNNNNNNNNNNNNNNNNNNNNNNNNNNNNNNNNNNNNNNNNNNNNNNNNNNNNNNNNNNNNNNNNNNNNNNNNNNNNNNNNNNNNNNNNNNNNNNNNNNNNNNNNNNNNNNCCACGUGGGGGGGGGGGGGUUCAAUCCUCUUACAUUAGAAGAUCUUUCAAGUUUCUCAAAUUCUGGGCAGGGUCAAUCCUCUUACAUUAGAAGACCUUUCAAUUUUCUCAAAUUCUAGGCUACAGAUUUCUAGGAAGUAGUUAAACCUCAUUGGUUAGCUACUGACUGCACAGAUAUUUUCAUCAGCCUAAAACAGAAAAUGAAGAAGCCUAAGACUGCACUAUCUAAUUGGAGUAGAGAAAAGGAGAAAAUGAUCAAAAUGGUCCUUAAUGUAUAGGCUUUGCUUCCAUUUGAUCCCUAAUAUAUGAGCUUGAUGGAAAUAGUCCUUAAUGUAUCAUAAAAUGUGAUCAGUUUGGUCCUUAACCCUAAAAUUAACAUAUUUCUUUUAUUUUUGCCAUCAAAAUACACGGAAUAUGUAAGAAAAACUUGAAUGCCAUUGGAAACAGGGGAAGGAAAAAAGUCUUGAACGAGGGCAUCCUUUACAUAUUCUGUGUAUUUUGACGGCAAAAAAAAAAGAAAUAUGUUAAUUUUAGGGUCAAGGACCAAACUGAUCACAUUUUAUGAUACAUAAAGGACCAUUUCCAUCAAGUUCAUAUAUUAAGGACCAAGUGGAAUCAAAACCUAUACAUUAAGGACCAUUUUGAUCAUUUUCUCUAGAGAAAAGUAUGGGGAAUUUUUCAAACAGAUGCUUAUUAGAGAAGAUAUUGCCAGACCGGAGGAAAACUUAUUUGAAGAAACCUCUUUGUUGAAAAUAGAAGGGUCUUGCAGAAGGCUCAUGCUGAAUUGAAAAAAUAUAUCCACUAUGAGGAAGAGUUUUGGAGGAAAAAAGCAGGCAUUCAAUGGUUUGUAGAAGGAGAAAAGAACACUAUUUUUUUCCACAAUUCAGUAAAGGGAAGAAGGUAAAGAUUGGAAAUAAUUAGGAUUCAAAAUGCUGAUGGUCUUUGGGUGGAAGGAGAAGAACAGGUGGCUACAGAAGCAGUAUCUUUUUUUUAGGAGCGGCACUGAGGUUGUCCUUAUUACAACAUAUACCCAGUUUGAUCACUGAUCAGAUGAAUAAUGAUAUUAAUGCUAGUCUAAGUAUGGAGGAAGUAAGGAAGGUUGUUUUUACUGUGAAUGGGGAAAGUGCAAGUGGUCCUGAUGGAUUCACUGGCCACUUCUAUCAAAGUUGCUGGAGCAUAGUUGGUGAAGCUGUUUAUAAAGUGGUGAAAGCUUUCUUUGAGGGAUACACCCUCCCCAAAUCUAUAACACAUACCAACUUGGUUUUAUUGCCAAAAGAAGAAGUGGUCCAAUCCUUCUCAGAUAUGAGACCAAUUAGCCUAAGCAAUUUCCUGAAUAAAGUUAUCUCCAGAGUUUUAUAUGAUAGAAUUGAAAGAAUGUUACCUACCCUAAUUUCAAAGAACCAAUCAGGUUUUGUGAAGGGAAGGAACAUUAUUGAAAAUGUGUUACUGGCACAUGAGAUCAUAAUAGACAUUAGAAAGAGAGGGAAACCAUCGAAUAUGGUAAUAAAGCUAGAUAUGGCAAAGGUAUAUGACAGAGUCAACUGGAGUUUCUUGGUAAAGGUACUGGAAAAAUGGGCUUUGAUGCUAGAGUUAGGGACAUGGUAUGAAGACUAGUUGCUAAUAAUUGGUACUCAAUUCUUAUAAAUGGACAAUCACAUGGCUUUUUCCAUUCAACUAGAGGAGUAAAGCAAAGAGAUCCACUCUCUCUAGCAUUGUUUGUCUUAAUUGUUGGGGUACUGUCUAGAGCUUUAAACUCCCUAUUUGACAAUUCAGACUUUAAAGGUUUUGGGAUGUCAAAGUGGAGUGACAACAUUAAUCAUCUGUCAUAUGCUGAUGAUACAAUCAUAUUUGUAUGUGCUGACACUAAAUCUGUGAAAUUAGUUAAGAAUGUGCUUAAAGAAUAUGAAGUUCAAUUAGGGCAGAAGAUUAACAAAGAAAAAAGUGCAUUCGAUGUCUAUCAUAAAACUACUCUGGCUCAGAUUAAUACUGUGGAGGUGGAAACUAGCUUCAAAAGGGAAAAAUUUCCAAUAAUGUACUUAGGUUGUCCCAUUGGACAUGCAAAGAAGAGAAAGGUGCAUUUUGAAAAAUUAUUGAAGAAAAUCAACAGUAGGCUACAAACUUGGAAAGGGAAACUUAUUUCCUAUGGAGGCAAGGCUGUUUUAAUCAAUAAUGUAUUGAGUAGCAUCCCCAUUUAUCUAUUAUUUGCGACUAAUCCUAAAAAAUGUGUGAUUCUGGACAUGCAUAGAAUUUUUGCAAGUUCUUUGUGGAAUUUCAAAAAAAUGGGGAGAAAUAAACACUAGGUUGCCUGGAGUGACCUUUGUAAACCUAAGGAGGAAGGGGGCUUGGGAUUUAGAUCUUUAUUUGAUGUCUCCAAAAUACUUUUUGCUAAGCUGUGGUGAAUAUUUAGAACACAUAAGACAUUAUGGACAAACUUCAUGUGGAACAAAUAUUGCAAAAGAGUGAGACCUCAAUUGGUGGAAUGGAAAGGGGGAACUCAGACCUGGAUGAACAUGUUGGAGGCUAGAGAUAUGUUUGAUCAAGAAAUCUGGUGGGAACCAAAGAUGGGGCACUCCAGUGUAUGGUUUGACAAUUGGACUCAAUUAGGGGCUCUGCACUAUUUUUUGCCUAUCACUAAUGAGUAUGACAAUCAAUGGGAGGACAUCAGACAACUUUUCUCAAAUGGGAGAUGGAAUGUAGAAAGGAUACAACAUAUUCUUCCUGAAAAAGUGAGUAAACAUGUCCUUACUUAAGUAAAUUGUGAAGAAAAUUCUGAGGUAUGGGAUAAGCCCUGGUGGAUGUAGAAUAAAUCAGGAAAAUUUACUAUAGGAUCUGCCUGGGAUAGCAUCAGACAAAAAGGAGAUGUUCAACACUGUUUUCAACAUAUUUGGAGUAGAGGGGUUCCUUUUAAGGUAUCCUUUUUCUUGGGGAGGCUUUGGAAGAAGAGGUUACCUAUUGGGGAGGUUCUGAUAAGAAAUAGGAUAUGUGAUGAAAUGAUUUGUUGUUGUUAUGGAGAAGGAGUUCAAGAAACAAUAGAGCAUUUUUUCAUGAUUUGCCCUGAUUCUAAAGCAUUAUGGCUUUUCUUUGCAGCAGGAACAUUAGUAGAUGGUCCAUUUAUCCACAUGAAAGAUAGUAUUUAUAAAUGGUGGCUGGCAAAUGGUGUACCAAAGGUCAAACCUAUCUAUAAGGUUGUUCCCAUGUUUAUUUUAUGACACAUAUGGAAGAGAAGAAAUACAAUAAAACAUGGAGGGAAAUUAUCAACAAUUAGCAUGAGGAUGGAAAUCUGCAUAAGUCUGGUGUACAUGGCUCAAAACUUAUAUCCUUGGUUACAUAAUCUCCCCUCAUCAUGGAUUGACCUAGUGCAAUUCCUAGAAGCAUAUACACCAAGGAUUGAGUAUUAAGAUAGUUUACUGGGAAGACUCCUAGCAGGGGAUAUAAGUGUAACACUGAUGGGGCUGCAAAAGGGAACCCUGAUCCUAGCUCAGGUGCUUUUUGUGUUAGAAAUGAAGCAGGAAACUUGACAUAUACUAAAGGGAGAAGGUUUGGGGUGAACUCCAACCUUGUGGCAGAAGUUUUAGCUUUCAGAAUGAGGUUAAAGUAUUGUAUUAAUCACCAUUAUCUUCCACUGACAAUGGAGACAAACUCUUUAGCCAUAAAGAACAUAUUAGAUGGAGGGUGGGAAACUCCAUGGUGCAUUACAGUAGAUAUCACAAAGAUAAAGAGUUUACUGGUAGAGUCAAACACAACUGUAGAACACACCUACAGGGAAGGCAACAAUCUGGCAGACUUUUUUUGCUAACCACGUUUUCUAUUUUGCAGGUACAGAUCUCCUAACAUAUUCAUCAAUUCAAGAAAUAUCAAGAGAAGCUAGAAGUAUAUUACAGUUGGACAAGAAUCAGACCCCAAACCUUAGAAUAAAAAAAUACCAGGAUGGUAAUUUCAACAUUAGGGGGAGGGGAGCACAACAAGGAACAAACAACAAUUAGCAAUUGCAAUAACUACAAAUCCAUUCUUGAAAUUGCAAAAAUUUCCAAUGGGUACCCAAAUCGAAAAUCAAUCAUUGGGGCAAUAGGGAAAUUUUCACACGCAAGUCGAAAUGAAGCGUGAUUCACUUACUCGAUUAGUUAAUAAAUGGAUCUAUGGAUUCUUCUGGCUUAGACAGUGGUAUUAGCUCCAAGCUGAGCUCAACCUGUCAAGAAAGAGAAAACAUAGUGAAGAUUACUACCUAAUCACCUAAGGGGUUCUGGAUAGAGAGGAGUUGGUCUCACCAUGGUUGUGCAAGAUAGGACUGGUAGUGCUAGGAGUUGAAGAAGUUUUUAUUUGAUUGAUUUAUGGCAUUUGUGAGAGGUUUGAAUGCCCUUGUAAAACAAUCAAGACUCACUGGCACCUACGUUGUCAGCUC
rnacentral:lncRNA from 1 species